rnacentral:rRNA from 1 species
AUUGAACGCUGGCGGCAGGCUUAACACAUGCAAGUCGAGCGAGCGGCGGACGGGUGAGUAAUGUCUGGGAAACUGCCUGAUGGAGGGGGAUAACUACUGGAAACGGUGGCUAAUACCGCAUCCCAUCAGCUGAACCCAUAUGGGAUUAGCUAGUAGGUGGGGUAAGGGCUCACCUAGGCGACGAUCCCUAGCUGGUCUGAGAGGAUGAUCAGCCACACUGGAACGGAGACACGGUCCAGACUCCUACGGGAGGCAUCAGGGGGGAAUAUUGCACAAUGGGCGCAAGCCUGAUGCAGCCAUGCCGCGUGUGUGAAGAAGGCCUUAGGGUUGUAAAGCACUUUCAGCGGGGAGGCGUUACUCGCAGAAGAAGCACCGGCUAACUCCGUGCCAGCAGCCGCGGUAAUAC